ACUUUUAAAGGAUAAUAGAUAAUCCAUUGGUUUUAGAAACCAAAACUCUUGAUGCAACUCCAAGUAAAAGUA
rnacentral:tRNA from 1 species